rnacentral:rRNA from 1 species
GGCGAACGCUGGCGGCGUGCUUAACACAUGCAAGUCGAACGGAAAGGCCUGCUUUCCCUUGUGGAUUGCGGGUACUCGAGUGGCGAACGGGUGAGUAACACGUGAGUGAUCUGCCCCCAACUUGGGUAUAAGCCUGGGAAACUGGGUCUAAUUCCCGAUAGGACUGCAGGGUGGUGCCUGUGGUGGAAAACGAUUUUCUAGUGGUUGGGGAUGAGCUCGCGGCCUAUCAGCUUGUUGGUGGGGUAAUGGCCUACCAAGGCGGCGACGGGUAGCCGGCCUGGGAGGGUGGACGGCCGCAUUGGGACUGAGAUACGGCCCAGACUCCUACGGGAGGCAGCAGUGGGGAAUAUUGCACAGUGGGCGGAAGCCUGAUGCAGCGACGCCGCGUGGGGGAUGACGGCCUUCGGGUUGUAAACUCCUUUCGACCGCGAGGAAGCCACCUGGUUGGAAGGGUGGUGACGGUAGUGGUAGAAGAAGCACCGGCUAACUACGUG